rnacentral:rRNA from 1 species
CCUACGGGGGGCAGCAGUGAGGAAUAUUGGUCAAUGGGCGCGAGCCUGAACCAGCCAAGUCGCGUGAGGGAUGACGGUCCUACGGAUUGUAAACCUCUUUUGCCGGGGAGCAAGCGUGCGUUCGUGAACGCGCGUCGAGAGUACCCGGAGAAAAAGCAUCGGCUAACUCCGUGCCAGCACCCGCGGUAAUACGGAGGAUGCGAGCGUUAUCCGGAUUUAUUGGGUUUAAAGGGUGCGUAGGCGGGAUGCAAAGUCAACGGUAAAAAUGCGGUGCUCAACUCCGUCGGGCCGUUGAAACUGGCGUUCUUGAGUGGGCGAGAAGUAUGCGGAAUGCGUGAUGUAGCGGUGAAAUGCUUAGAUAUCACGAAGAACCCCGAUUGCGAAGGCAGCUUACUAAACUGUGACUGACAUUGAUGCUCGAAAGUGUGGGUAUCAAACAGGAUUAGAUACCCCUGUAGUC